CCCGACACCUCCGCUGCCUCCUCUGUUUCUUUCAACAGCCUUACCGUCCACCCCCUUCCUCAUAGCUGUCUCCUCCGCGCUGUCCCCGCCUCUUCCAACGCCAUCCUCCGCAAGUAAGCCGUCGGUUGCACGCUGCUCAUCCACGGCGGCGCCGCCACCACCUACUGCUAUUCUCCCCUGAUGCGCUACACGGCUUGUUCUGUUGUGAUGGUUGAGGUGGAGGUGCUAUGCUGGACUACUUCCUCUCCAUCUCUUAUCUCUUCCCGUCUACAUUCUUUUAUAUACAACUUCUGGUCAGAUCUCUAGCCGCCAGACCCUAACCAAGGAUGGGAGUAGUGUGAGCGUAUUUGCAAUUUUGCUUGGCUACCUGUAAACGCUCAACUCAAUGCACUAGGAAGAAUCAAAUCUUUUUUUGCCUUAGUAUCUGGGGAUGUUUUGAGAAUAGAACAAGAAUUGAUUGUUUCUUACUUUUCAUUCCAGCAAUUCUUCUGUACAAAUAAGAUAUAACCACUGAGUUUACAAUGACAGCCAAAUAGGCUGCAUUAUUUAGAUUAACAUAUAAUGGUGAAUUGGUUGUAGUUAAAAAUGUAAAGUAUUAGUUCCUUUGGGGCAGUUAAGUUUGAUUGGAUAAUCUGAUUUUACUGAUAGAUGGUAAAAAAAGCAUGUUUUUCUUUGUUUAAUAUUCACCCUGGUAUCUCGGGUGCCUUUUAAUCAGAAUUUGGACACAGGAUAAUAUUUGUUCUUUUCCACUUAUUUUUUCAACAACAGGUGUUGAUAUAUAUGGUCAAGGUUUACUAGAAUAGCACACUGAUAUAUACCAACAAUAUGUAACUUGGGAUUAAGUUUGGAGAAAAUACAACACCUGGGUGGUCCAGGUAGCUUGUUAGUAGUUACCACUGUAAUGUAUUCGUUGCAUAGCCUGAAGCUUUUUAUUCUUUGGCAUUCUGGUUUAGUGUUGAUUAGACUAGGAAAUCAAGAUUUCAAUAUACAUAAAGGCAUGAUUUUCAAACUCUGCUGGCCUUUUAGGAUUACGAUACAUUGAAACAGAGGAUAAUGCCUGCCCUUGAUAUAUUGUCUUCUCUCCUACGUGUUGUCUCCUAAUUUUUGCUACCUAUUCCAGCUUCGUAUGGAACUUCACUGUACUUGAUUCUGUGGUGGAUCAACUUGUUUUAGAAGAGUUGGUUAGACAGAAAUUCUCCAAGCUAGGUUUGUUAUAUUUCCCUUUAUAUAAAAUCGCAUGACUUCGUCAGGCAUAUGCACAUAUAUACUUAGUAUCAACUCAAACUACACUUGGAUUUUUUGUUUUCACCAAAUCACUGAAAUUUUGAAAAAUGAUGAUUUACAUGGCAGGUCAAAAAGAUAUUCGAUAAGCUUAGGAGUUUCCAGGAGAAACCCUUGGAUUUAGGUGUGAAGCUGAAGAACUACAAGGUCAAGAACGCAGCAGGUCUUAAGCCCCAAACUGCAAGGGCUCGAAGUGGAGCCAGAGAUGACGAGACCGAAUUAGAUUUUUUUGCAUUAUAUGGUGUCUUGGCAGAUUUAGAUUCCUAUUAAAAAUGAUACCAUUUUGUUUAUGUUGACUACUAUUUCGUGGUUGCAAGGCAACAACCGCUAGAACAUAUUCUGUAAUUUAGCAUGUUCAGCGCAGUCUGGUUGUGAGUAGAUGUAUUUUAGAUUAGGAAUAUGUGUGCUUGUGGGCACUUGCAGUUUAGCAUUUCGUCAAAUAUUGCUCAGUUGUUCUCCUGUAAUUAUUUGAUUACUAUUCGACCUACAUCACUUGCAAAUAUUUAUGUUGCUAAUUUUCCUUUUUUUGGUAGGUUCAACGAGAAGUCGGUAUAUGAUCUAAAUGUUUGGCUUAGAAGAAGGAUUUUAUUGGUUGGAAACCGUAUGUUUGAUUGUGCUAAAUGUGUACCUAUCAACUAUAUGACAUCGAUUUGAUCAAUGUCUAGGUACAUUCUUGUGUUUUCUAUAUUUUGUGAU
rnacentral:lncRNA from 1 species